GGAAUUUUGGGCAAUGGGCGAAAGCCUGACCCAGCAACGCCGCGUGAGGGAUGAAGGCCUUCGGGUCGUAAACCUCUGUCGGGAGGGACGAAAGGCGCGCGGGUGAACAAUCCGCGUACUUGACGGUACCUCCUCAGGAAGCGCCGGCUAACCCCGGCCCACCAGCCGCGGUAAUACGGAGGGCGCAAGCGUUGUUCGGAAUUACUGGGCGUAAAGCGCGUGUAGGCGGCCAGGUAAGUCGGAUGUGAAAGCCCGGGGCCCAACCCCGGAAUUGCACCCGAUACUGCCCGGCUGGAGUCCCGGAGAGGAUGGCGGAAUUUCCGGUGUAGAGGUGAAAUUCGUAGAUAUCGGAAGGAACACCAGUGGCGAAGGCGGCCAUCUGGACGGUGACUGACGCUGAGACGCGAAAGCGUGGGGAGCAAAC
rnacentral:rRNA from 1 species